rnacentral:lncRNA from 1 species
AAAAGAUUCAUAUAACCAAGAGAAUAUAGAAUCAACAACAAUGAUCUUCAAUCAUCAUAUUCAUUAAAGACAAGCAACAAAAACUCAAAUAACCAAAGGAUUCAUAAAACAAAGAGAAUCAAAAGAGUUCUUACAAAACGUAGCAAUCCAAGGAAAUCCAAUCGGAUGAAAUGUUAAUUGACAUCCAAAGCAAUCCAAUGAAUCCACAAUCGAAAGUAAUUGAUUUGAAACUCUAAAAACCUUAAGAAGAAGGUGGAAAUCGCCCCUAGAGGCUGCUGGGUUCGAAGA